rnacentral:rRNA from 1 species
AGUGAACGCUGGCGGUAGGCCUAACACAUGCAAGUCGAACGGCAGCACAGUAAGAGCUUGCUCUUACGGGUGGCGAGUGGCGGACGGGUGAGGAAUACAUCGUAAUCUACUUUUUCGUGGGGGAUAACGUAGGGAAACUUACGCUAAUACCGCAUACGACCUACGGGUGAAAGCAGGGGAUCUUCGGACCUUGCGCGAUUGAAUGAGCCGAUGUCGGAUUAGCUAGUUGGCGGGGUAAAGGCCCACCAAGGGGACGAUCCGUAGCUGGUCUGAGAGGAUGGUCAGCCACACUGGAGCUGAGACACGGUCCAGACUCCGACGGGAGGCAGCAGUGGGGAAUAUUGGACACUGGGCGCAAGCCUGAUCCAGCCAUACCGCGUGGGUGAGAAGGCCUUCGGGUUGUAAAGCCCUUUUGUUGGGAAAGAAAAGCAGCAGGUUAAUACCCCGCUGUUCUGACGGUACCCAAAGAAUAAGCACCGGCUAACUUCGUG